rnacentral:rRNA from 1 species
AUGGACAUGAUGAAUGAUGAUACAGAAGCAGUUAGACUGCAAACUUUGCAGGCACUGUUUGAUAUGGCAACAUAUGGAUGUUUGAGCAUGCAGGAGAAGCACAUGCACAUGUUCCUUGGCAUAUUGAUGGAUGCCAAUGUUGUAGUUCGAAAUGCAGCACGCAAGAUCCUAGGGCCAGUGAAUCUGCCUAAACUUCAAAUGUUUAAAUCUGCACUUGAUGGUCUCAUUGCAGGUCCGAAGAAAAAUCCGGAGGAUCAAGAUAUAUAUGUCGUUCUGUUUUCCAUUGGCAAGAAUCAUGGGAGCUUUUCAGCCAAUAUAGCCAAACAUUUAGCCAAAGAGGUGUUUCUCCAUUGCUUACUUCCAAUUUUGUCUACAUGCUAA